CACCGGAUCCCAUCAGAACUCCGAAGUUAAGCGUGCUUGGGCGAGAGUAGUACUAGGAUGGGUGACCCCCUGGGAAAUCCUCGUGUUGCAUCCC
rnacentral:rRNA from 1 species